CUGAUCGGCCGCAGCCAAUCAGCUUCCACGGUCUGGGAGACAACGAGGAACCUUCUCCACAAAGCAAACAUACAUCAGCUACAGCAACCAUGCAAUCUAGCGGGGGACCAAGGAAGGCCGGAUGCCCGCCAUUGUCAAGGAUUCCACCAUUCUGACCGUGGCGACGACGCGUGUGUAUGGAAUUCCGAGCAGCCGGGAGUGUGUGUGUGGGGGGGCGUGUGCACGUACGGGUGCGCCACCGAUGAUGGAUUUUUCCUGGGACCCAAUGUGGCAAAAGGAUUAACAACGGAGAAGUUUUGUGAGGGGAGAGAGGGCCCGAGGGGAGGACGUCGAGGCUCCAACUUUGACUUGAUGGCGGCCGAGAGACAUAGGAAGAGAGGGGAGCGGGACUUUUUAAGUGUUGUGCGGCGGUUCUGUUGGAUCGGAGCGGGAAGGGGGCCUCGGACCUCGAGGGAUCCACGACUGGCUAUGAGGAAAUGUGUUGGAAGUUGUCUGCAACUUUUGUUCUGAUUAUCAUUCAAGUUCUGAGAGGGUGAGUAACUCCAACACUUAGGGCAUGACAACGCAGUUGAUUUGCCGUUUUUAAGGAGGGUUGGUUUACUUUGGUUACUUUCUGAGUGUCUUUUUUCCGUUACAAAACGUCAUUCCAACAGAACCCCGUUUUUGGUUUCCGAGUUCAUGUUUUUGCUUUUUCUCUCUAAACGGUCUGUGAUAGGUUAACAGAAACGAAGACUUUGAAAAAUGAUAACAAGAAAAAAAAAGAGAAUCAAUCUGCUGAUUUCGAGCAUGCCGGUUUGAACACCCUGUGUCGUGUAAUAAAAAAAAAUCGUAAACAAAAACUAAAGAAAAAAAGUUGGAAUGCGUUCAAACUCUGUUCCAGUGUUGUUACAAUUGUUUGGGCUGCUGCCUACUGUAUGUUUAAAAUCGGUCCUAACUGGUGAAGGUCAAAUCGUGAUUUCUGUUACUUUCUGUUCGUUUCUGUGUGCUACAGUGAGGCCAUGAUAUGUAUUACCAGCUAGCCAAAGGCUGCCACUGCCCUCCGCAUUGUGUGCUUUGAAUCGGUGGCCCACGGCUAAAGCGAACAGUACUUCUCCCCCCCCACCCCCCACCCCAGACCAAACUCUAAGUCGUCGCCCCUGUAUGAGCCACCCCAUCACUGCCACCACCUGUCUUCUAGGUCACAGAUAAGGGACAGUUCCAUUAGGGUGGGGGGGGGAUUAAGAUGAAGUGAGCGCUUGAAUGUGGAUCGCCGCGAUAUCCUCUCAAGGUGAUCCAUUGCGGAGCAGCGAUCCAAACGACAUUACCUCUUCUUCUCAGGCGUCGUCGCCCCCCCCCCCUUCCCCCAACCUGUCUCACCGGCCGUAAGUUUGGACGUCGCGCCAUCACUUUGUCGUUAAGUGUAAAGCCGCCAUCGUUAAGAGUCGACGCUAGCUAGCAUCCGUCGGUCCCUUACUGCGAUCGGGGUCAGCGGAGUUCCUCGUGCAUAAUGUUAAAUAAGUCGUAAACAUAUCUAAAACAUCGGAUGAGGAAGAGCGAGGACGUCGCAAAGGCAAGACGCGGAAAGUUUCAAACAUGUAUCGUAAAUUUCUCUGUUACUAACUUUCCAUGAUCAUGAAAUAACCUGAUGAACGGAUGACGUACCGCGGUAUAGAAGCCUCGAGUCAUUCAACAUCUUUAGGAAAAUAUGUGAGGAGGAGGAGCGAAGAAGUCGCAAGACUUGUCGCAGACUUGAAACUCUCAAAAGUGAACAUUACUAACUAUCCAUUACAAUGAAGUUAAGGGAAUACAGGACGAAUUAACACAUAAAGGUAUCAGAAUAAACAAGGUAUUUAAAGUCCUCUGGAAACACUGUCCGAGGUAGAGCGAGGAAACAUGAGCCUAAUGAAAAGUAAACUCUUUGAGUUUGAGUGAAGACCAUCCGAGGGUCCCUAUCGUAUGUCGUGAAUCCAUGUUGCUUCUCAUCAUCCCCCCCCCCCCCUUGUCCCUCAACACCGUGUUGCAGAUAAACUUAAAAAAGACCCAAACGGCCUCCUAAUGUGUGUUAUUAAAUAGACGAUGAUGUCGCUUUACCACCUGACAUACUCUAAGCUAGGAGGGAGGGAAAGUAAAAAAAGAAGAACCCAGUGCCUGGCUACCUGAUGAUGAUGUGUUCGUAAAACCUCAUGAAACCUAACAACUUUGUGUGGAGCAUGUUCAGUUAUUUCUUUUUUUAUACCUUUUAUUUCUAUUAAAAACUGUUUUCAAACCACAUACCCCCCCCCCCCCUUUUGUUUAGGAACCCCCCGUUUCAUGUAAGGUGUGUGCUUCUUUUGAAAUGUCCCCGUACCUUGAUUCUACAAACCCUGCGGUGGCGCAGAAAUCUAAUGUUUUGUUACAUGCAAAUCAGGUAAACAAAUGGAAAAAUCAAUAAACA
ensembl:lncRNA